rnacentral:lncRNA from 1 species
UAGGUAAUUUUAUUCAUAAAAUAUUAAAGUGUACUUUUCUCUUACUAGAAAGUUAUCAAACCUGCUCUGAUUUGAUAUGAAUAACUUCUUAUCCUAAGAAUCAGAUUCAUAAAGUUGAAGAUUUCUAACAAAGGAAUAGCCAUUCUCAUGUUUACCUAGAAAACCACAGGGACUCUUUAGAUUCCUCUUACCAUGUAAAUUGUCUUAAAGAUGAAAAAUAGUAAGCAGAACUGUUCAUUGCUAACUAUUGGCAAGGAUUUCUAAAUCUAGGAAAAAUCAGUACUUGAUUCAAGUGUUAAAUAGGUAGGAUUUUGCUGUCUCUUCUAACUUACUAAAAACACAUUUGUUUACUGAGGAGAUUCAGUGUUUUGUUGGUUUGGUUUGUCCUGCUUAGUAUCCCGCAACUCAGUAAGCAUUCU